rnacentral:rRNA from 1 species
UACGUAGGGACCGAACGUUGUCCGGAAUCAUUGGGCGUAAAGGGCGCGUAGGCGGCCGCCUAAGUCAGACGUGAAAUCCCCGGGCUCAACCCGGGAACUGCGUCCGAUACUGGAAGGCUUGAAUCCGGGAGAGGGAUGCGGAAUUCCAGGUGUAGCGGUGAAAUGCGUAGAUAUCUGGAGGAACACCGGUGGCGAAGGCGGCAUCCUGGACCGGCAUUGACGCUGAGGCGCGAAAGCCAGGGGAGCAAACGGG